ACGGCAACUGGGAGGAACAGGUUUGGCAGGACCUUUUAAGCUGUUCACGGCAGACAGCCUCUUCAGAGCCACAUCCCUGCUUCACCGACCUCCCAGCUGGAUGUUCCUCUCUGCCACACUGGCCCUGCUGCGCUGGAGAGGAUGGACACGCUGCGAAGGAGCCUGUCUCGCUGGAAGAGGUACCACAUCAAGGUGCACCUGGCCGACGAGGACCUGAUGAUGCCGCUGACUGUCAAGCCCAGGGACACAGUGAUGGACCUACGGGCUCACUUAGUGCGGGAAGGCAUCACUUCCUGGAAGAAGACAUUUUAUUACAACUCCAGGCAGCUCGAGGAGCAUGAGACUCUCAAAGAGGCCAAUAUCCAGAACGGCUCUGUCCUGCUUCUUGUCAGCAAUAAAAGAUAAUGCCAAAGAGCACAGCCAAAGCAAUGAGGGACGGGGAGUGUGACAAGGGCUGAAGGGAAGCAGAUGGAAGAGCUUGGCCAUGGAAACACAGCCCGGCCAUCAGCGUUUGGUAAGUUCCUCCCUGCACGCCAGCUCAAGGACUGUUCAGAAAGCAGCUCCGAAUGUUUUCAGCACAGUGCCCAUAAAUAAUUAACCCAAACAAAACUACAAAUAACAUUUCCUCAUCAGUGCGCCAUGUGGUCUGAGCUGCCAAAGGAAAAGCAUGGGUAAGACUGACUCAGCUCCCGAGGGCGGUGACUCACAGCGAAAUGCCCACGAAAGGGUGAAUUCUGCCUGGGUGACAAAGCGAGACGGAGCCAAGGUGGGCUUCGCUUAGGGUGCUAGAUGGGSACUCUGGAGAUCUGAGCCUUCUUCCAGCCCUGUCACAGGAUUCCUCAGUAAGUUGCUGGUCUUAGCCUUUGUUUUCCUAUUGAUAAAUCCGAGAUAAUUUAUCCUUUCCUUUCUCCCACUCUUCAUCCAUCCAGCUGUAAGAGAAUCCAGGUAGGGGCUGUCUGUGCUUCUGAGCAGUUCCUUUGCAGCAGGGCCCUGAUUUGCAGGUYGAAGGCUCUGUACGGCAAAUUAAGUGGUAAGUGCACAAGAGACAGUCCUGGAUCUUGAUAGACUUCGUAUAUCCAAAGGACAGAGACUGGCUGGUCACUGUUAUGGUGACUACCUCAUCCGACAUUUAGGGUGCCAUAGUGGUAAGUCACCAAAACUGGCUCAUUUUUGAGUCAAGGUUUAUAGGGAAAUGAGCCUCCUUGUGUUGUUCCUCCAUGCGUGCCAUUUCCCCUACUCCAAUAACUUCUGAACCAGCUGGGCUGAUUCAGCCCAGUUUGAUGGGAAGAGAGAGGUCUCACAGACACUAGAUUCCUAAAAUUUUCAUGGAAAAAAAGCAGCUGGAUAGAAGAGAUAUUUAAGUUAAUAUCCUACUGAAGGAAAGGUAAUUACACCUCUCUUUCUU
rnacentral:lncRNA from 1 species